rnacentral:rRNA from 1 species
CCUACGGGUGGCAGCAGUGAGGAAUAUUGGUCAAUGGUCGGGAGACUGAACCAGCCAAGCCGCGUGAGGGAUGAAGGUACAGAGGAUCGUAAACCUCUUUUGUCAGGGAACAAAGGCGGGGACGUGUCCCCGGAUGAGUGUACCUGAAGAAAAAGCAUCGGCUAACCCCGUGCCAGCAGCCGCGGUAAUACGGAGGAGGCGAGCGUUAUCCGGAUUUAUUGGGGUUAAAGGGUGCGCAGGCGGUCUGUUAAGUAAGCGGGCAAAGCCCGGGGGUCAACCCCGGCCUCGCGGUUGAACCGGGCAGUCGCGAGUUGGAGAGAAGGAUGCGGAAUGCGCGGUGUAGCGGUGAAAUGCAUAGAUA